UCCGCGCGGCUGCCCGGGGACACGAACUCCUUUCUGCACCGGAGCAGCUCCUGUGGUGCCCUGGGCCAGAGGGUCCCUGGGGCUGCUGCAGAGCUGCCCACCAGAAACCUGCCCUUCACAAGAGGAAAAGGGAAUACUGUGUUGUGUUGUGGUGACAUUUACAAGGAUCCUUUCCACCAGCUCUCAGCCUGGAUGGGGCCCCUUGUUGGCACCAGCACACCCUGAGACACUGGCAUCUGAGUCUUCCUGAAAACCAGCACCAACAGCACACACACUGGUACCCCAGGAAUGGCCUGCCAGUCCAGCUGUCACCUCUCCAUGCAGCCACAGAUUCCCCAGGGUGUCUCUCUGUCAUGUCAGCGUUCCCCUUGAGGUCAGCGGGACCCGCAGGUGCCUGGGCAA